rnacentral:rRNA from 1 species
UACGUAGGUGGCAAGCGUUGUCCGGAAUUAUUGGGCGUAAAGCGCGCGCAGGCGGUCCUUUAAGUCUGAUGUGAAAGCCCACGGCUCAACCGUGGAGGGUCAUUGGAAACUGGGGGACUUGAGUGCAGGAGAGAAGAGUGGAAUUCCACGUGUAGCGGUGAAAUGCGCAGAUAUCAGGAGGAACACCCGUGGCGAAGGCGGCUCUCUGGUACGUGACUGACGCUGAGACGCGAAAGCGUGGGGAGCAAACAGG